rnacentral:rRNA from 1 species
GAUGAACGCUGGCGGCGUGCCUAAUACAUGCAAGUCGAGCGAACAGACGAGGAUCUUGCUCCUCGGACGUUAGCGGCGGACGGGUGAGUAACACGUGGAUAACCUACCUAUAAGACUGAGAUAACUUCGGGAAACCGGAGCUAAUACCGGAUAAUAUAUUGAACCGCAUGGUUCAAUAGUGAAAGACGGCUUUGGUGUCACUUAUCGAUGGAUCCGCGCCGCAUUAGCUAGUUGGUAAGGUAACGGCUUACCAAGGCAACGAGGCGUAGCCGACCUGAGAGGGUGAUCGGCCACACUGGAACUGAGACACGGUCCAGACUCCUACGGGAGGCAGCAGUAGGGAAUCUUCGGCAAUGGGCGAAAGCCUGACGGAGUAACGCCGCGUGAGUGAUGAAGGUCUUCGGAUCGUAAAACUCUGUUAUUAGGGAAGAACAAAUGUGUCAGUAACUAUGGACGUCUUGACGGUACCUAAUCAGAAAGCCACGGCUAACUACGUG